rnacentral:tRNA from 1 species
GGGCGGUUGGCGCAGCGGUAGCGCGCUUCCCUGACACGGAAGAGGUCACAAGUUCGAUCCUUGUAUCGCCCA